rnacentral:rRNA from 1 species
GAUGAACGCUGGCGGCGUGCCUAACACAUGCAAGUCGAACGGAGUCCAGCCUUUAAGACCUUCUGGUCAAAGAGGGGAAGACUGAGUGGCGGACGGGUGAGUAACACGUGGGCAACCUGGCUCAUAGAGGGGGAUAACAGAGAGAAAUUUCUGCUAAUACCGCAUAAGCACACACUGCCGCAUGGCAGAGGGUGAAAAGAGAAUCGCUAUGAGAUGGACCCGCGUCUGAUUAGCCAGUUGGCAGGGUAAGAGCCUACCAAAGCGACGAUCAGUAGCCGAUCUGAGAGGAUGAACGGCCACAUUGGGACUGAGACACGGCCCAAACUCCUACGGGAGGCAGCAGUGGGGGAUAUUGCACAAUGGGGGGAACCCUGAUGCAGCGACGCCGCGUGAGUGAAGAAGUAUUUCGGUAUGUAAAGCUCUAUCAGCAGGGAAGAUAAUGACAGUACCUGAAUAAGAAGCCCCGGCUAACUACGUG